CUACGGGGUGCUGCAGUCACGGAAACUUUACAAUGCGCGAAAGCGUGAUAAGGGUAUCCCAAGUGCUUUGCUUAUUGUAAGGCUUUUGCCAAGUGUAAAGAGCUUGGCGAAUAAGUGGUGGGUAAGACUGGUGCCAGCCGCCGCGGUAACACCAGCGCCACAAGUGGUAACCACGUUUAUUGGGCCUAAAGCGCUCGUAGCCGGUUUGAUAAGUUUCUUGUGAAAUUGUUUGGCCUAACCAAACAACGUGCAAGAAAUACUGUCUAACUUGGGACCGGGAGGAGUUAGAGGUAUUCCAUGGGGAGCGGUAAAAUGCUAUAAUCCUUGGAGGACCACCAAUGGCGAAGGCUUCUAACUAGAACGGAUCCGACGGUCAGGAACGAAGGCUAGGGGAGCAAAACGGAUUAGAUACCCCCGUAGUC
rnacentral:rRNA from 1 species